UCACAUCAGGUUUGGGCUGAUCGGGGCGAAUGUGCCGGACCGUGGGCCGGCCUGGUUGGUUUGGCCGGAGGAGAGUGCAAAGCACUCGUUGCCCCACCCGUCAAACCGGGCAUCACCGGCCGCGGCGCCGGCCCGGAGAUGCUCGUUUCCCGACUCCCGAGGCACUAGCUGUCGCGCAAUGGGUACAGUGCAAGCUGCAGGGGGCAGAUGGGGACAAGUAAACACCUCACUCCACUCCAUCUCAGUUCUCAGCUGAUGGCAAAGAUGAACUGAGAGCUGAUGGCGAAGAUGAACUGAGAACUGUAGCUAGAUUGAGAGCUGGGGAAAGAGGUCGGGGAGGGGGGAUUUCGUUCCGAAGGCCUUGCUACGAGCUGAUCUUACCAUCACCAUUCAGCAGCACCGAGGCAUGUCAAUAACCGAGAGCUUCACGAUAUACCAUGGGGAUAAUUUGCUUACAAAUGGACCUGCGGGGGUGCAGCGGAAUCUGGCCGGCCGCGUCGUGUACAAGAAGCUGCUAGGGCCGCAGUACAUGUCGUUCCAGCAAGUGCGGCGCUGGAUAUUGGAGAUGUUCAACGUGGACGAGGCGAGCUUGUGCUGCGGCACAUCGUGCCUGUAAAGCCCAAGAACCAGGCGCGCGCUUACAACAUGGCGGUUGAUAUAGUAGGGCUUGAUUCCUGGAGGACAUUUCUUGAAGUGUCAUUGCGCCAAGGUGUCUCUUUGGUACUCUAUGUUCAGUGGCAGGCCAAGGCGGCGUCAGGUCCCGUUUGUGAAGGCGCUAUCGGCGAGAAGAAGAGCGCCACACCUGCUCUGGCUCCAGCUCCGGCCCCGGCAACUGCCCCUGCGCCCACUCCUGCUCCUGCUCCUGCCCCUGCGCCUGCUCCCGCUCCCGCUCCCGCCGCUAAAGAGCCCACCGUGGCCGGUGAACAAGGCGGAAGCUGGGACAGGGAGGACCCGGGCCGACGUCUCUACCGCUGCCCUCUGUUGGAGGAUCCUGGGGGAGUGUGGAUUCACGCAGUGGCGAGGCCUUCCCUGAGAAGGCGACCAUGCACAUCAACAACCUCCUGAGUAGGGAGGAGUGCCUCGAGCAGCAGGUCGAGAACCUCCAGGAGGAGCUCAACGAGCUCCGUCGCCGGUACGUGACCGGCAGCAGCCAUCGUGACGGGCAAGACAGCGAGACACGCCCACGCCAAGUCCGCAGAAUGAUCUAGGACAACUGAUGGUGUACCCUGCUUCUCCCAGUUUGCAUGAAGUCCUCAAAUGUUGCUAGUCAUGCUGUCCGUUUCUUGUUCGUUCAACCAUUUGUUCAGUCAUGUUGUUGCUAGAGCAUGUCGCUCUGAACAGUCUGAACCGUGUUCGAAUGUUAUGUCAUCUGUAAUGUAAAUUACUUGCAUCAACGCAUUUACCAUUUCAGAACAAUGUUGGACGUA